ACGCUGGCGGCGUGCCUAACACAUGCAAGUCGAGCGGAGAUCAAGGAGAGCUUGCUCAAAUUGAUUUUAGCGGCGGACGGGUGAGUAACGCGUGAGCAAUCUGUCCUACACAGGGGGAUAACAGCUGGAAACAGCUGCUAAUACCGCAUAAGACCACAGUACCGCAUGGCACAAGGGUCAAAGAUUUAUCGGUGUAGGGUGAGCUCGCGUCCCAUUAGGUAGUUGGCGGGGUAACGGCCCACCAAGCCGACGAUCAGUAGCCGACCUGAGAGGGUGACCGGCCACAUUGGGACUGAGACACGGCCCAAACUCCUACGGGAGGCAGCAGUGGGGAAUAUUGCACAAUGGGGGAAACCCUGAUGCAGCGACGCCGCGUGAGCGAUGAAGUAUUUCGGUAUGUAAAGCUCUAUCAGCAGGGAAGAAAAUGACGGUACCUGACUAAGAAGCCCCGGCUAACUACGUG
rnacentral:rRNA from 1 species